UUCUUUUGAUUCUGGAGAAUAGAAGAUAUUGAAUAUGUUUAUACAUGUUAGUGAAAGCAAAUAAAUGAGUAAACUCUGAUAGUUUUCAGUUGGUAUCAGGAAAGAAAAAGUAAACCCCUUUCUUUUCUAAGACACUUAGUAAGAGCCAUGUAUUUACUGAACCAAAGAAAUAUUAUAACAGCAGUAAAGAAAACUAUACAAUUAACGUAAAUUAGAUAUGAGAUAUUCAGUUAGUUUUGUUUAAUUAAGUGCCAGCAGACGCGGUUAUACUUAAGAAACAAGUCUUCUAAUAAUAACAAGAAAUUAUAAGUGAGAAAUAAAACAAAAGUGUGAUUUAUAGAUACUUGACUAGGUUAAAUUUACAAGUAUAAGUCAUUCAAAAAAGAAGUACAAUCACAUUAAAAUCCGAAUUAUGAAAAACAAAUAAUUAAAUAGGAUUAGAUACCCUAGUAAACUGUAAUGUAAAAGAUAUGAAUAUAUCUACUUGAACAGUACACUUUAUGAGUAAAAAUCAAAGAAUUUGGCUGUUUACUUUCUAGUUGGAGGAAUACGUAAUUUAAUUCGAUAGUACACGCAAUACCUUACCUGUGUUAGAAUUUCAAGAACUGCAUGGUCGUCUUAAGCUAUAAUUUAUAAUUAAGGCAAAAGUCUUAUAAGAAGCAAGUCAGAUAGUAUGGUCUUUAUAGGCAGGGAAAUCACGUAUUACAAUUAUUGGAAAAGUUUAAAUUCAAUAUUGGAUAUAAGCUUAAAAAACUUAUGGAAAGAGAAUUCAAUAGUAAUUAGAUAAAGAAGAUUCUAAUGAAUUAGUUCAAGUACUAGUACAAAUUGCCCGUCGCCUUUUUCGAGAUAAGAAAGAGUAAGUCGUAACAUAGUGAGGGAAAGGGAACUUUUCCUUGAUCUAAA
rnacentral:rRNA from 1 species